CGGGUGAGUAACACGUAUCCAACCUACCGUUUACUACGGGAUAGCCUUCUGAAAAGGAGAUUAAUACCGUAUGGUAUUCUAAAGUUUCAUGACAUUAGAAUUAAAGGUUUACCGGUAAUCGAUGGGGAUGCGUUCCAUUAGAUAGUAGGCGGGGUAACGGCCCACCUAGUCAGCGAUGGAUAGGGGUUCUGAGAGGAAGGUCCCCCACAUUGGAACUGAGACACGGUCCAAACUCCUACGGGAGGCAGCAGUGAGGAAUAUUGGUCAAUGGACGAGAGUCUGAACCAGCCAAGUAGCCGUGAAGGAUGACUGCCCUAUGGGUUGUAAACUUCUUUUAUAAAGGAAUAAAGUGGUCCACGUGUGGAUUUUUGUAUGUACUUUAUGAAUAAGGAUCGGCUAACUCCGUGCCAGCCGCGGC
rnacentral:rRNA from 1 species